CAAGGAUAUCACAGAAGUUCAAGUUGCAAAAUUUUCAUUUGAUAACCAUUUUCAGAGAAUGUACAUAAGCAGGAAAAGGGGAAAAAUCUUCUUGCAAUUUCCAUUUCCCCCAAAGACAUCAUUAUCCAUUAAGCACAUUCUUUAACAAGCCCAUUCCUCAUCAAGUGAUCAGAGUGUAACAGUGGUCAGUCCAUGUGCAUCACAAUGCCUUGGCACCAGGUGAUGCUCAAUCCACAUGCACAUGCAGGACAGAACCUUGGAACAAGGUCGUGACAUCAUUGACAGCACAUUUGAAAAUCUUGCUAAUUUAACCUGCUUCCUACUGCUGCCCCAAUAAUACCAAUCCAGUGUGCAAAACUAAAGUAACUUGAAUCAUUAGUCAAUAGGCCGGAGAAGAGAACCCUUACAAAAGUGCAAA
rnacentral:misc_RNA from 1 species